rnacentral:rRNA from 1 species
AGAGUUUGAUCCUGGCUCAGAUUGAACGCUGGCGGCAGGCUUAACACAUGCAAGUCGAGCGGAGAUGAGGUGCUUGCACCUUAUCUUAGCGGCGGACGGGUGAGUAAUGCUUAGGAAUCUGCCUAUUAGUGGGGGACAACAUUCCGAAAGGAAUGCUAAUACCGCAUACGUCCUACGGGAGAAAGCAGGGGAUCUUCGGACCUUGCGCUAAUAGAUGAGCCUAAGUCGGAUUAGCUAGUUGGUGGGGUAAAGGCCUACCAAGGCGACGAUCUGUAGCGGGUCUGAGAGGAUGAUCCGCCACACUGGGACUGAGACACGGCCCAGACUCCUACGGGAGGCAGCAGUGGGGAAUAUUGGACAAUGGGGGGAACCCUGAUCCAGCCAUGCCGCGUGUGUGAAGAAGGCCUUAUGGUUGUAAAGCACUUUAAGCGAGGAGGAGGCUACUGAGACUAAUACUCUUGGAUAGUGGACGUUACUCGCAGAAUAAGCACCGGCUAACUCUGUGCCAGCAGCCGCGGUAAUACAGAGGGUGCGAGCGUUAAUCGGAUUUACUGGGCGUAAAGCGUGCGUAGGCGGCUUUUUAAGUCGGAUGUGAAAUCCCCGAGCUUAACUUGGGAAUUGCAUUCGAUACUGGGAAGCUAGAGUAUGGGAGAGGAUGGUAGAAUUCCAGGUGUAGCGGUGAAAUGCGUAGAGAUCUGGAGGAAUACCGAUGGCGAAGGCAGCCAUCUGGCCUAAUACUGACGCUGAGGUACGAAAGCAUGGGGAGCAAACAGGAUUAGAUACCCUGGUAGUCCAUGCCGUAAACGAUGUCUACUAGCCGUUGGGGCCUUUGAGGCUUUAGUGGCGCAGCUAACGCGAUAAAUAGACCGCCUGGGA